rnacentral:rRNA from 1 species
GGGGAAGGGAGCGUGCUCCUGACCUCCCGGCGGACGGGUGAGUAUGUAGGAAUCUGCCUAUUAGUGGGGGACAACAUUCCGAAAGGAAUGCUAUACCGCAUACGCCCUACGGGGGAAAGCAGGGGAUCUUCGGACCUUGCGCUAAUAGAUGAGCCUAAGUCAGAUUAGCUAGUUGGUGGGGUAAAGGCCUACCAAGGCGACGAUCUGUAGCGGGUCUGAGAGGAUGAUCCGCCACACUUGGGACUGAGACACCGGCCCAGACUCCUACGGGAGGCAGCAGUGGGGAAUAUUGGACAAUGGGCGAAAGCCUGAUCCAGCCAUGCUGCGUGUGUGAAGAAGGCCUUUUGGUUGUAAGCACUUUAAGCGAAGGAGGAGGCUCCUGAGAUAAUACUCUUGAUAGUGACGUUACUCGCAGAAUAACACCGGCUACUUUGUGCAACAGCCGGGGAAUCAGAGGGCCGAGCGUUAAUCGGAUUACUGGCGGUAAGCGUCCGAGGCGG